rnacentral:lncRNA from 1 species
CCCUCAUUCUGAUGGGCCACAUCUCCCAGUAGCUUCCUGAGAAAACAUGCAGAGUAAUUGAGAGAUGAGUGCUGGAGUCAGAGAGACAGAGAUCAAAACAUCAGCUCCCUGACUGCUGCGGCUGUUUGGAGAAGGUCCCCAGCCCACCCUGGUCUUCCCACAGACAAUGGCCACUCCCAUGCCUGAGCCAUCCCAGAUCCCCAGUUGGAGGAACCAUCCUUUACAGCUGACUGACUCACCAGUCCCUAAUGCUGGUCAGAUGUCCUGAACAAGGAAAGCCGUGAUUUCUGCGACCAGAGAGAAUCGGUCAGUCACGGUGUCCCUCAGCCAAAAUGAACUCAGCCUAUUGUCUCCGGAGAGCUGGUAAAUCGGCAGCUGAAGAAACAUACAGUUCUGUGUUUCAAAAUGCAAAAGACCACAUUUCCCUGACCUCGGGUGCUCGCUGACACAUUCCCAACCAAUGACUAUAAAUCUGCUCCUGGAUUGUGCUCAUCAGUUCAGAGCUGGAGAGUAAACAACUUCAGAGAAAGAGGCUUUCCAAAACAGUGGGAAUUUCGGCAGAGAUGGAGCUUGGGGAAACUGAGGCACUCAGUCUGACUUCUCUUCCCUGAUGAGGAUGUGGGCUUGCUGAAGCUGAGUUUGGUUCAAGAAAGAGGAGAGUUCAAUGUUGAUAAAAAUUAUCUUGAACAAAAGUCACAGAUUGCUAGAGCAAGUUCUUCUUGAACUGUGACAAUAAGACCAGGCUAAACAAGCUAAAGGACAUAGCAAAACGCAUGGACAAUGUUAAUCGGCCGCAUUAGGGAAUCCAUGGAGAGGCCACCGUGGGUCUCUAGAAGCUACACUGAAAUGUGUUUCAUCUGCUUCCACCCUGGUGAGAGGGGUCCCACUUCCAUAAGUUUCCAUGUCCUUUGUUAAACAGAGAACCUAGAGUUGUCGUACAGGGUGGGGAGAGAUGUGGUUCCUUCCCACUGGACAUUCAUCCAACUGAAACACUACAGUUGGUAUCUAAAGUGAGACAGGCACUACCAGGCGUGGAAGAUUCAUCAAGCCGAAAGAAGAAACACUGAGCUAGCUAUUUCCAAGGUGGAUACAGAGCCAAUUGUAACAAUGGAAUUUAUGCAGUUUCCCUACCUGGGACAAUUCACACACAGUGGUUAAGGAAGCUCAGUAAAGUCCAGGUAGCCCACUGACUGUUCCCUGGCUUCUCCCAGCCACCUAUGACCUGGACAAGACUUGGAACCCAAAGGGAGUUAAAAAACUAAGAACCUCAGGCUGGGCGCAGUGGUCCCAGCACUUUGGGAAGCCAAGGAGGGCUGAUCACUUGAGCUGAAGAGCUGGAGAGCAGCCUGGCCAACAUGGUGAAACCCCGUCUCUAAAAAAAACUACAAAAAUGAACUGGGCAUGUUGGCGCAAUCCUGUAAUCUCAGCUACUCAGGUAGCUUAGGCGGGAGGACCACCUGACCCCAGGAGGCAGAGGUUGUAGUGAGCUAAGACCAUGCCACUGCACUUCAGCCUGGGCAAUAGAGCGAGACCCUGUCUCAAAACAAACAAAACAAAAAGCUAACAAAACAAAACAGCAAAAACAAAACCUUGAACCUUAUCAAGCCUCGAGAGCCAACCACCAUUAUACCAGGAGCAUAGAACUGGCCAGAUUCGGAUAUGGGGAAUUUCUGCAGGGCAAACGGCCCAGGUACAUCAAGAAACAAUGUCAUGGGAAAAGAUGGAGCAGGAAGUGUGGCAGAUUAAAAGAGACGGAACAGUCAGCGGCAACCUUGGUGUUUUGUUUGUUUCCGAAUCUGUACAAACCAACAGUAAAAAUCCAUGAUUGAGAAAGCAGGGAAAUGGGAAAGCAGACAGGGCCUGAAAGGGUGGUGGUGGCUUGGACCACGUCAUUGUGGUGAAGCUGGAGCUAGAUUCCUCCACAUCCCUUUCUCUGUGGAGUUCUGGGUGAAGAGGUGGCCCAAAGAGGCACUGUCGUGGGAUUCGGGAGGCUGCGUGAAGCAUCAGCCGUGACUCUCCAAAGUUCUUAGACUUGAUGCAUGACAGACACACACACAGGUAUCAACGAAGUCCAGCUUGUCCCCACUCUCCUGUCCCCAUCCACUUCUCCCCGACCACCAACUCUGCUGACCAGCAACGGCCCUGAGCCAGCCUCCAGAUGCUUGCCUGGGGUCCACUCUGGCUGGAGCAGUUCUUAUUAAAGGGUUUUUGUUCAUUGCAUUAGCUUCAUCGCAGUAUUGCAUUACACUGGGGGCAAGACAUUCUCUGUGGUAGGUACACACUGAAGCAUUUAUGGGUGAAAUUAUGUUAUUUCUAGGGUUUGCUUAAAAUACUUCAAAACGAAAGAGGCUGGAGCGUGGAGACUAAACAAAACAACAUUGAAAAAUGGUAACGAUUGUUAGAGUUGGAAGAUGGGCUCAUUGUUCUAUUUGCUCUGUUUCUGGUAUGUUCGAAAAUGUUCAUGAUUUCAAAUUACGGAGUCGGGGGAGCUAAGGAAAUGGAACAGAACCUGAAGAUCCCCCACCCCCUCCUCCACUCCAG